GACGGAGGGCGCAAGCGUUGUUCGGAAUUACUGGCGUAAAGCGCGCGCAGGCGGGAAGGUAAGUCUGGAGUGAAUUCCGGGCUCAACUCCGGAGCUGCUUUGGAUACUGUCUUCUAGGGACCGGUAGAGGCCGGUGGAAUUCCCGGUGUAGAGGUGAAAUUCGUAGAUAUCGGGAGGAACACCGGUGGCGAAGGCGGCGAUCUGGGUAGAUACGUGACGCUGAGGUG
rnacentral:rRNA from 1 species